GUCCGGGAAUAAUGUCGGAAAAAUUAAGACUGCCAUUUCAAAUGAGUGUAUAAUGGAGAGGGACAGAAUUUUGGCAUAGCAACAGGUCACCUACAGAUCAAUCAAAGAGCUGUUGCAAAUGUUCGUAACGUGCAAAGAGCGUAUCACUCUCUUUACAAGAUGCAUCGAGUUUUACGUACCCAUUCUGACUUGAUGUGGAGGCAUAUUUGUACAUCCCGCACGGACGAUCCACAAUUGUGACCUUACUUCAAUCCCUAGUUAUCCUUGGGGGCCCCCCUCUUUUGAAUUAUCAACAUAAUUUCUUCAAAAUCAUUUUAUAAUUUUUUUAUAGAUACUGAGAAAAUCAAACUAAAAGUUACUUGAAAAUUCAUUUCAAAGAGGAGCGUAUUGGGUCACUUUUCUAGCGGCGUCAUAUAAAUGCUGGAAAAUUCGUGCGAGGAAUGAUGAUUGUACCCAAUCGGAAAGGACGACUAUGUAAAUAGCGGACCUAGAAAAUUAGAUACCAAAAAGGGAUGUUUAAAACUAAAAAAAAAAAAUUCACAAGUCGGAGUUAUAUUGACAAC
rnacentral:lncRNA from 1 species